UGGGGAAUAUUGCACAAUGGGCGGAAGCCUGAUGCAGCGACGCCGCGUGAGGGAUGAAGGCCUUCGGGUUGUAAACCUCUUUCAGCAGGGACGAAGCGUGAGUGACGGUACCUGCAGAAGAAGCACCGGCUAACUACGUGCCAGCAGCCGCGGUAAUACGUAGGGUGCGAGCGUUGUCCGGAAUUACUGGGCGUAAAGAGUUCGUAGGCGGUUUGUCGCGUCGUUUGUGAAAACCCGGGGCUCAACUUCGGGCUUGCAGGCGAUACGGGCAGACUUGAGUGUUUCAGGGGAGACUGGAAUUCCUGGUGUAGCGGUGAAAUGCGCAGAUAUCAGGAGGAACACCGGUGGCGAAGGCGGGUCUCUGGGAAACAACUGACGCUGAGGAACGAAAGCGUGGGUAGCAAACAGGAUUAGAUACCCUGGUAGUCCACGCCGUAAACGGUGGGCGCUAGGUGUGGGUUCCUUCCACGGGAUCUGUGCCGUAGCUAACGCAUUAAGCGCCCCGCCUGGGGAGUACGGCCGCAAGGCUAAAAC
rnacentral:rRNA from 1 species